CUAAAAUAGCCUUCUCCCUUCGUUCUGGCUGAAAUCUUCUUCUUCUUCUUCGACCUGGUUAUAAGUUUGUGUUCUCAAAAUUAGAAUUCCCAAAAUUGAAAUCCCUUUGCAAAGCCACUCGUUCCUUCCUCACGCUCCACCACUCUAGGCUCCAGCUGUGCGCUUUCGGUUUGCAGUCGUCAACGGUUGCCGGCUCAUCGCAGCGGAAGGACAGGAAGAAGAGAUUAUCAAGUUUUUCACUUGAUAAACCAUUACAGGUAGCAGAGAUUAUCAAGGAGGACUUAUGGCCCAAUCCUCUCACUUAUUUCAACAGUGAGGCUGAUGAAGAGGAUUUUGAUGGAGAUGAAGAGGCAAAAGAGGACGAGGAUGAGGAGGAGGAGGAGGAGGAGGAUGGUGAUGAUGAGGAUUAACAAAAAUGAGUGGGUGGCCUUAAUUCUGUCUAGUUGUUGGGCUUGC